rnacentral:rRNA from 1 species
GACGAACGCUGGCGGCGUGCUUAACACAUGCAAGUCGAACGGAAAGGCCCUGCUUUUGUGGGGUGCUCGAGUGGCGAACGGGUGAGUAACAAGUGAGUAACCUGCCCUUGACUUUGGGAUAACUUCAGGAAACUGGGGCUAAUACCGGAUAGGAGCUCCUGCUGCAUGGUGGGGGUUGGAAAGUUUCGGCGGUUGGGGAUGGACUCGCGGCUUAUCAGCUUGUUGGUGGGGUAGUGGCUUACCAAGGCUUUGGCGGGUAGCCGGCCUGGGCGGGUGACCGGCCACAUUGGGACUGGGAUACGGCCCAGACUCCUACGGGAGGCAGCAGUGGGGAAUAUUGCACAAUGGGCGGAAGCCUGAUGCAGCAACGCCGCGUGCGGGAUGACGGCCUUCGGGUUGUAAACCGCUUUCGCCUGUGACGAAGCGUGAGUGACGGUAAUGGGUAAAGAAGCACCGGCUAACUACGUG